CACCAGAAACACACAGGAAGGAGAAGUAAGAAAGGCACAGUGUCAAACAAAAUGUAACAUUUCACAAACAAAGAAGUCAGUUCUUAUGAGCGUGUUAACUUACAUUUGAAGGCUGAGACAUGAGAAGAAUUAAGUGAGCCUGAAGCCAUAUGAAAGUGAUUCAAUGUGUUUUUUAACGAGAUGCCAUAAGUUAACCACUAAGUCAUAGAACAGGUUUGGAGGCAUCUAUUCCAAUUGCAAGUUCAAAAUAAAUGGCCAAGGCAGAAAAAAAAAAGAUUCCAAAAGCAUGAUGAAAUAGGUGCUUCCAUUUGUGCAUAGCCUGACGAUGUUAAAGAUGAUGAUAAACAGCACUGGCAGCAGAACUUUUGCUAAAAUGGUUACUGCUGUUCAUGCUGACGCUGGUGUCUUUUGAGGUUGUUACUCUGGUUAAAUGCCUUGGGGCAUGAAGGGCACUUAUA
rnacentral:lncRNA from 1 species